ACAGUGUUGUCUGCCCACGAUGUGCCGGGCACUAUCCCAGACACCAAUAUGAAAAGGUGACCAUUCUCUGCAACAGUCCAAUGGAGGAGACAGCCGUAACGCAGUCACGGCCAGAAGGGACAGCAGUUAAAGAACACAUUGGAAGAGAGAAGGAGGCAAUCCUGCCAGAGGAAAUAGCACACACAAACUUACAAUAAGGAAUCUGGCUUGCGCACGGUCGUCCAGCUGCUGAGUAGAAGAGCCAGGACCCUGACUGCUGGCUUGGUGCACCUCCUGCUGCACACCAGCUGCCUCCAAUCACCCUCAGAAUAUCCUGGCCACAUGCCACCGUGGGUGCCCUGUUGUAGGCUGGCAACAGCCCCACCCAGCAGGACCAAGGAUCUGAUUCUUGAGAGCAGGCGGGUUCAUCACAGCGGCAGCGAGACUUACGUGCAGCAGCUGCAGAAUAGUAGUGCUCAUCUUCCCAGUGUGAACGACUUUUUAGUGGAUCAAAGAGAUUUUUAACCUCGGUGUGAAUGUCUUCCAAUUGGAUGUGACGUAUUUUGAAGAGGUAAGAGGCAGGAAAGUUCAGUUGCCAGAAAUAAGAGAGGAACUGAGAAGAAUUUAAGUUCUGAACUGGAAGGUCAUUCUUGCCAGAGGCCUGGGAGGAGGGCUCUUGGCAAAAUUAACCCAAAGAUUCACCCAUCCAAGCUGUUUAAGUCACCUGGUUAACUCUAUGGACUACCAAAUAUAAAUUGGCAUUGGAGAGGAAGAAAGUUGAGAAAAAAUCAAUUUUAUACAGUUGAGGAAGCAAGAUGUUCCACAGUUAUUAUCAUGCAUUAUUUUUUCCAGUAGUGUCCUUUGUGGACAUUGUUAUUACAGAAUCCAGUUAUCACAUUAUACAGUCUGUGCUACCCAAAGCAGAGCUGAUCGUGGCUGGAAAUUUAUCCCAAUAUCAAAAAGACUUGAGAGGACUCUAUGGCACGUGACUAUUAAGCCGUAGACAAUAAUUCAUAUUUAUUUUGAAAAACUAUUCCAAGGCAAACAAACAAAAAGAAUGAUUAAGGAGGGCUCAGCCUUAAAGUGUUUCAAAGCAUAUCUUGUUCUUUCUCAAACCACAGCCUCAACAAUCAGAACUCUGUAUCAUUUUUUUCAACACAUGAAUGCUAAAUAUUAGGUUAUUAAGUAUGAAAUGGCUGAUUUCCUUAAG